AUGGCGACGAUCGUCAACACCACGGAGGAGGAGCCGAUGCUGGCGGUGGUGCGCUCCACGGCGGAGCUCGCCUGGGCCGACGGAGGCGCCGAGGUCGCCGACCCGGAGGUGGCCCGCCUCUGCGCCGAGGCGCAGCAGCACGUCCUCGCCGGCCGCUGGCUCGACAUGGCCACCCUCAUGCUCGCCUCCGCCGACCUCCUCCUCCUCGCCCCACGCCUCUCCGACAAAGCGGCCGCAGAUCUCGAGUGCACCCUGACCGUCAUCUGCAACCUCGUCACCAAGGCCGGAUCCGAGGACGAGGCGCUGGAGAUCGCCAAGCUCAUCUGCGCCAAGCUCACCCACCAGCCGGGCGAGAAGCCCACGCUGCGCAUCAAAGUCCUGUUCAGCCUGUACAACCUGCUUCCGAGCCUCUCCGGCAAGGCAUUGGUCUACAGGAAGGCGCUCGAGCUCGCCGCCGCCGGGAAGGCCGCCGCCGACUGCGUCGUGCCCACCUUCAAGAACAUCGAUGCCUUUGUCGCCUACUGGGGCAUCGGCAAGCCGGAGCAGAGGGACCUGUUCCUUGCCGUCACCAGGAUUCUCAAGGACCAGAAGGGCAUGACCAAGGAGUACUUCAAGUUUCUGAACAAGUACCUGCCCACGUUCGAUGGAUCGGCUGAUGACGCCGACGCAAUCGGUGCGGCAAAGGAAGAAGCUGCUGCAGCAAUCAUUGAGUUUGUCAAGUCAUCUGAUCUCUAUCAGUGUGACCUGCUCGACAUGCCAGCUGUUGCACAGCUCGAGAAAGAUGAGAAGUAUCAGCCAGUUUACGAGCUACUGAAGAUAUUCCUUACUCAGAGGCUUGAAUCCUAUUUAGCGUUUCAGACUGCUAACUCUACAUUGCUGCAAGGAUAUGGACUGGUUCAUGAGGAGUGCAUAACAAAAAUGCGCCUGAUGUCCCUGCUUGAUCUGAGCGGCCAUUGUUCUGGGGAAAUUCCUUACUCUGCAAUUACAAAAGCCCUUGAGAUCAAUGAUGAUGAGGUGGAAUAUUGGAUUGUGAAAGCAAUUUCAUCCAAGAUUUUGGAUUGCAAAGUUGACCAGCUUAAUCAAUUGGUCAUUGUCAGCCGGCAUACUGCAAGGGUCUUUGGGAUGCCACAAUGGCAGAGUCUACGUUCAAAGCUUGGAGUGUGGAGGGGAAAUAUCGCAAAUGCUAUCAACACAAUCCAAGCCAACAAGGUGACUGAAGAUGGCGGGCAGGGGAUGCAAGGAUUGAUGAUCCGCUGA
rnacentral:rRNA from 1 species